rnacentral:misc_RNA from 1 species
UUUCCGUAGGUGAACCUGCGGAAGGAUCAUUCAUAAUAAAGUGUUUUAUGGCACUUUUUAAAAAUCCAUACCCACCUUGUGUGCAAUGUUAGAUCUGGUCAAUCUUGGCGAGAUUUUUAUACAUCAACUCAUUUUUUAACUAAUUUGUCUGAAAAAUAUUAUGAAUACUUAAUUCAAAAUACAACUUUCAACAACGGAUCUCUUGGCUCUC